GUCGGGAUAGCUCAGUUGGUAGAGCAGAGGACUGAAAAUCCUCGUGUCA
rnacentral:tRNA from 30 species